rnacentral:rRNA from 1 species
UACGAAGGGGGCUAGCGUUGUUCGGAAUUACUGGGCGUAAAGGGCGCGUAGGCGGCCAUUCAAGUUAGAUGUGAAAGCCCUGGGCUCAACCUAGGAAUUGCAUUUGAUACUGUUUGGCUUGAGUUCGGGAGAGGUGAGUGGAAUUCCCAGUGUAGAGGUGAAAUUCGUAGAUAUUGGGAAGAACACCAGUGGCGAAGGCGGCUCACUGGACCGACACUGACGCUGAGGCGCAAAAGCGUGGGGAGCAAACAGG